GGUGGUGUAGAGAGGGCAUUUCCUCCCAGAGCUUGUAGCUUCCUUCCACACUUUUCUCAGAGUACCCAGUCCUCCAAACUCUCUAGCUCAUUGCCAGAGCCCCCCAGGUCCUGAAAGUGACUCUUCACUCUUCUGGUGGGGGACCACAUGACUGGCUGGCAUUCCCAUCCCUGGACCCCAGAGGUGGCUGUGUGCAGAAGAUGCUCUGGAGUGUCCACAUUGCAUGUGUAAACAAAGCAAAGACAUCAUCAACUGGUUAAAGCCUACUCAAUUUAAAACCCCAGUUGAAGUUCCAGCUCCUUCAAGAAAGACUGCUUGAUCCAUUUACCUCUCUAUCCCCCCCACCAGGGUACUUGCGCUGAGAAACAACUUUCCAACACUUGGAGGUGGCCUCAGGAAGAUGUGUGUGGUGACUGGGUAUGUUAGUGUUAAACCUGCAUUCAGAAGAGAAAAGGAGUACAAAUUACAGGCCUAAAGAAUGGAGAGACAAGAUGCUGAGGAGGAGAGUGACAAUCACAGGCAUUGUGUUAGGCUCAAUGCUAUGUGUGACUUCUUGUGGUGCUUGGUAUAACAGAUUUUGUGGGGGUGCUAUGAAAAAGCUUUUCAUCCUCCAAAAUAAUUAAAUAAAAAGGAGGAUGCUCUGGAACGCUG